UGGCCGACGGGUGCGUACGCGUGGGAACCUACCCCUCGGUUCGGAAUAACGUCGAGAAAUCGGCGCUAAUACCGGAUACGACCUCUGGGUGAAAGAUUUAUCGCCGAGGGACGGGCCCGCGUUGGAUUAGCUAGUUGGUGGGGUAAAAGCUUACCAAGGCUACGAUCCAUAGCUGGUCUGAGAGGAUGAUCAGCCACACUGGGACUGAGACACGGCCCAGACUCCUACGGGAGGCAGCAGUGGGGAAUAUUGGACAAUGGGGGAAACCCUGAUCCAGCCAUGCCGCGUGAGUGAUGAAGGCCUUAGGGUUGUAAAACUCUUUCACCGGUGAAGAUAAUGACGGUAACCGGAGAAGAAGCCCCGGCUAAUUUCGUGCCAGCAGCCGCGGUAAUACGAAAGGGGCUAGCGUUGUUCGGAAUUACUGGGCGUAAAGCGCACGUAGGCGGCAUGCCAAGUUAGAGGUGAAAGCCCGGGGCUCAA
rnacentral:rRNA from 1 species